CCUCGAAUAACUUCUGCCACAGACAUCUGAGGGCAUGGCUGUCCAAGAAGAAAAUGUAGCCAUUGGUGCCAUCUAUCGACCACAGGUUGAAGAUUGGCGAUUCGUUGGAUAUCAACCGAGUUAUAGGCAAAACUUGCUGCAAAAAUGAGGAAAAUUUUACAUUUUGUCAAACAGGGUAAGGAACUUGAUUCCUCGAAUAACUUUUGCCACAGACAUCUGAGGGCAUGGCCGUCAAAGAAGAAAAUGUAGCCAUUGGUGCCAUCUAUCGACCACAGGAUAAAGAUUGGCAAUCCGUUGAAUACCGACCGAGUUAUAGGCAUAACUUGCUGCAAAAAUGAGCCUUAGUAAAUUUUCAUGUUGUUGAAUUUUUUGAUUUUUUUUAUUAUUUUUCACUCUUUUUUUUAUUAAAAGCAUUACUUUAGUGAAAAGAAACACAUUGCAACCAAUUGGCAUUAAAAUAAAUCAAUUUAAUUUUUUUUGCAAAAUUUCCCAAAAAAAACGUAAGGGGUAAGCCUUAUGAAAUUUUCGAGUUGAAAAUUUUUUUAAAAUUUUUUUCUGAUUUUUUAUUAUUUUUUGAGUUUAAAGCAUUAUUUGAGUGAAAAGAAACACAUUGCAACAAAUUCGCAUUAAAAUAAAUCAUUUUUUUAAAUUUUGCUGAAUCGCUCAAAAAUGAGGAAAAUUUUACAUUUUCUCAAACAGGGUAAGGAACUUGGUUCCUCGAAUAACUUCUGCCACAGACAUCUGAGGGCAUGGCUGUCCAAGAAGAAAAUGUAGCCAUUGGUGCCAUCUAUCGACCACAAGUUAAAGAUUGGCGAUCCGUUGGAUGAAGACCGAGUUAUAGGCAAAACUUGCUGCAAAAAUGAGGAAAAUUUUACAUUUUCUCAAACAGGGUAAGGAACUUGAUUCCUCGAAUAACUUUUGCCACAGACAUCUGAGGGCAUGGCCGUCAAAGAAGAAAAUGUAGCCAUUGGUGCCAUCUAUCGACCACAGGAUAAAGAUUGGCAAUCCGUUGAAUACCGACCGAGUUAUAGGCAUAACUUGCUGCAAAAAUGAGCCUUAGUAAAUGUUUAUUUUUUUGAAUUUUUUGAUUUUUUUAUUAUUUUUCACUCUUUUUUUUAUUUAAAGCAUUACUUAAGUGAAAAGAAACACAUUGCAACCAAUUGGCAUUAAAAUAAAUCAAUUUAAUUUUUUUUGCAAAAUUUCCCAAAAAAAUCGUAAGGGGUAAGCCUUAUGAAAUUUUCGAGUUGAAAAUUUUUUUAAAAUUUUUAUCUGAUUUUUUAUUAUUUUUUGAGUUUAAAGCAUUAUUUGAGUGAAAAGAAACACAUUGCAACAAAUUCGCAUUAAAAUAAAUCAUUUUUUUAAAUUUUGCUGAAUCGCUCAAAAAUGAGGAAAAUUUUACAUUUUCUCAAACAGGGUAAGGAACUUGGUUCCUCGAAUAACUUCUGCCACAGACAUCUGAGGGCAUGGCUGUCCAAGAAGAAAAUGUAGCCAUUGGUGCCAUCUAUCGACCACAGGUUAAAGAUUGGCGAUUCGUUGGAUAUCAACCGAGUUAUAGGCAAAACUUGCUGCAAAAAUGAGGAAAAUUUUACAUUUUGUCAAACAGGGUAAGGAACUUGGUUCCUCGAAUAACUUCUGCCACAGACAUCUUAGGGCAUGGCUGUCCAAGAAGAAAAUGUAGCCAUUGGUGUUGUCUAUCGACCACAGGUUAAAGAUUGGCGAUCCGAUGGAUGCCGAUCGAGUUAUAGGCAAAACUUGCUGCAAAAAUGAGGAAAAUUUUACAUUUUGUCAAACAGGGUAAGGAACUUGGUUCCUCGAAUAACUUUUGCCACAGACAUCUGAGGGCAUGGCCGUCAAAGAAGAAAAUGUAGCCAUUGGUGCCAUCUAUCGACCACAGGUUAAAGAUUGGCGAUCCGUUGGAUACCGACCGAGUUAUAGGCAUAACUUGCUGCAAAAAUGAGGAAAAUUUUACAUUUUCUCAAACAGGGUAAGGAACUUGGUUCCUCGAAUAACUUCCGGCACGGACACCUGAGAGCAUGGCUGUCCAAGAAGAAAAUGUAGCCAUUGGUGCCAUCUAUCGACCACAGGUUAAAGAUUGGCGAUCCGUUGGAUAUCGACCGAGUUAUAGGCAAAACUUGGUGCAAAAAUGAGCCUUAGUCGAUUUUCAUUUUUUUGAUUUUUUUGAUUUUUUAUUAUUUUUCACUCUUUUUUUUAUUUAAAGCAUUACUUGAGUGAAAAGAAACACAUUGCAACCAAUUGGCAUUAAAAUAAAUCAAUUUCAUUUUUUUUUGCAAAAUUUCUCAAAAAAAUGGCAAGGGGUAAGCCUUAUGAAAUUUUCGAGUUGAAAAUAUUUUUUUUAUUUUUUUGUUAUUUUUUAUUCUUUUCUUAUUUUAAAGCAUUAUUUGAGUGAAAAGAAACACAUUGCAACAAAUUUGCAUUAAAAUAAAUCAUUUUUUUAAAUUUUGCUACAUUGUUCAAAAAUGAGGAAAAUUUUACAUUUUAUCAAACAGGGUAAGGAACUUGGUUCCUCGAAUAACUUCCGGCACGGACAUCUGAGGGCAUGGCUGUCUAAGAAGAACAUGUAGCCAUUGGUGCCAUCUAUCGACCACAGGUUAAAGAUUGGCGAUCCGUUGGACACCGACCGAGUUAUAGGCAUAACUUGCUGCAAAAAUGAGGAAAAUUUUACAUUUUCUCAAACAGGGUAAGGAACUUGGAUCCUCGAAUAACUUCCGGCACGGACACCUGAGAGCAUGGCUGUCCAAGAAGAAAAUGUAGCCAUUGGUGCCAUCUAUCGACCACAGGUUAAAGAUUAGCGAUCCGUUGGAUACCGACCGAGUUAUAGGCAAAACUUGGUGCAAAAAUGAGCCUUAGUCGAUUUUCAUUUUUUUGAUUUUUUUGAUUUUUUUAUUAUUUUUCACUCUUUUUUUUAUUUAAAGCAUUACUUGAGUGAAAAGAAACACAUUGCAACCAAUUGGCAUUAAAAUAAAUCAAUUUCAUUUUUUUUGCAAAAUUUCUCAAAAAAAUGGCAAGGGGUAAGCCUUAUGAAAUUUUCGAGUUGAAAAUAUUUUUUUUAUUUUUUUGUUAUUUUUUAUUCUUUUCUUAUUUUAAAGCAUUAUUUGAGUGAAAAGAAACACAUUGCAACAAAUUUGCAUUAAAAUAAAUCAUUUUUUUAAAUUUUGCUACAUUGUUCAAAAAUGAGGAAAAUUUUACAUUUUAUCAAACAGGGUAAGGAACUUGGUUCCUCGAAUAACUUCCGGCACGGACAUCUGAGGGCAUGGCUGUCUAAGAAGAACAUGUAGCCAUUGGUGCCAUCUAUCGACCACAGGUUAAAGAUUGGCGAUCCGUUGGAUACCGACCGAGUUAUAGGCAUAACUUGCUGCAAAAAUGAGGAAAAUUUUACAUUUUCUCAAACAGGGUAAGGAACUUGGAUCCUCGAAUAACUUCCGGCACGGACACCUGAGAGCA